GUAGGGGCCACUUCGUUGUGGAGCGGCAGAGUUCUUCUUCAGGGUGAACGAACGUACUGUUGUUCCUCGGUGUUCUUCUUCGCUGCUGCAAUUGAUCUGGUGGCAUCUUCUUCAUCUCGCUAAGAGAGAUUCUAGGUCGACGAACAGGGGUUACAUCUUGUGUCAGGGAGGGGAAAGAUGCGGUUCUAAUGGAUCACCUCGACCACUUUUCAGACCUCAAAGGAUGAAGAUGUUCUGCUCGCGCGGCGCGUGACCGGACGUCAACUAAACAGGGUGGUUGCGCUCGCUACACACCUAGUGUUCGUCGAAAAGCCACAAAGGUGUGGGCUGCAGCUCGCAACCGCCGCCACGAGAGAUCUCACGUCCUGCCUCAGCCAAACUGGCAUUCAAGUCGCCCACCCCUUCUCCUCAAGCGCCCAGAGCAUGCUGUAGUGCGCCUACCUAGCCCACCUGCGCGGCAAAUCCUGCAGGGUCACCGGCUGCCAAGAUGAAGUGUUCUGUCACGAUUAGGCCAUAGCCUCCGCUUAGCGCCGUUCUUGCUGAAGUUGGUUUACCGGAGGUGAAAUACAAGACCUGCUCAUAUUCCCGGGGCCGGGUGGCGGCUACUGCUGUCUUCUGACCAUCAUGAUCGCAUUCGUCUGCACCAGCACCACAUAUGAGGAUUAGUGGUGACCCAGCUGUGGAUGCCAACGAGGCCAUACAAAAUGCUGCUACCAGCUGCUUGGAACAUCUUCAGGACACCAUGGAUAUUAAGUUUGAUUGCCCUCAGAUGCAGAAAAUUAAGGCCAAUAUAAGCUACCUGUCCAACACUGUUGCCGAGCAGGCCAGGAAGAUCAGAAAACUGAAGGCUAAGGUGGAAAAAAAGAAAUCUCCAAGUCAGGGCCAUUGCAAAUGGCUGGGGGUCACUUGUAGAUGACAUGCUCGGUUCUGCAGGGCGUAUUGACAAGAUGGCGGUCAACUACCUGCCUACAUGAUCCUCUUCUAUUGUAGAUGAUGUGGCCUGGGAUUGCAACCAUCUUUCUCAAGAAGCUGACAACCUUGCCUAUCUGUCUGCCAUGUCAACUGAUGCAGUCAAAAGCGUUGGUGAUUACCCAUAUGAUACUGAGUCCGACUUCUCUGAAUGUGACGAGUUUUCUGGUUACUACCCUUCUGACAAUGAGGGCCAUAACAGUGGUUACUACUCGUCUGACCUCGAGAGUGCUUGCGGUGCAAACUGCUUGUAUGACGAAUUUCUCAAUGAUGGAUCCGAGUGAUGCUUCGACCAUGUGAGAAUGCGAAAAUUCUUUUGGUUUGUCAAGUAAUAUCAGCGUAUCUAGCCCUGUUGCCUCUACAGAAAUGUUAUAAAGUACUGAUGGCAACCUGCCCUACCUUUAUUGUAAAUUAUGUAUGGUCGAUCCUAUGAGACAAUCCUUGAUGGUUGUAUGAUCGAUGCUACUAGACGGUCCACCCUAUAGUAAUUGUAAAUUAUGAACCAAUUAAGCUGUAGAUGUGAUGUUGGUUUUC